rnacentral:rRNA from 1 species
AAUAUUGCGCAAUGGGGGGAACCCUGACGCAGCAACGCCGCGUGAGUGACGAAGGUUUUCGGAUCGUAAAGCUCUGUCAUCGGGGACGAAGAAGCGACGGUACCCGCGGAGGAAGCCCCGGCUAACUACGUGUCAGCAGCCGCGGCAAUACGGAGGGGGCGUGCGUUGUCCGGAAUUACUGGGCGUAAAUGGUGCGUAGGCGGCCAAUUAAGUCAGAUGUGCAAUACCACGGCUUAACCGUGGGGGUGCAGUUGAAACUGUUUGGCUUGAGUGCAGGAGAGGAAAGCGGAAUUCCUAGUGUAGCGGUGAAAUGCGUAGAGAUUAGGAGGAACACCAGUGGCGAAGGCGGCUUUCUGGACUGUAACUGACGCCGAGGCACGAAAGCGUGGGUAGCGAACA